rnacentral:rRNA from 1 species
UAGGGAAUCUUCCGCAAUGGACGCAAGUCUGACGGAGCAACGCCGCGUGAGUGAAGAAGGAUUUCGGUUCGUAAAACUCUGUUGUUAGAGAAGAACAGCGCAUAGAGUAACUGUUAUGCGUGUGACGGUAUCUAACCAGAAAGCCACGGCUAACUACGUGCCAGCAGCCGCGGUAGUACGUAGGUGGCAAGCGUUGUCCGGAUUUAUUGGGCGUAAAGCGAGCGCAGGCGGUCAAUUAAGUCUGAUGUGAAAGCCCCCGGCUCAACCGGGGAGGGUCAUUGGAAACUGGUUGACUUGAGUGCAGAAGAGGAGAGUGGAAUUCCAUGUGUAGCGGUGAAAUGCGUAGAUAUAUGGAGGAACACCAGUGGCGAAGGCGACUCUCUGGUCUGUAACUGACGCUGAGGCUCGAAAGCGUGGGUAGCAAACAGG